CAGUUAAUGCAAUGUGCUUCUGUACCUUGAUAUUGCCUGGCAGUGCCUGGAAUAAACUGUGGACUCAUGAGUGAUCAUCUGCAAAGGAAUUGAUUGCAGCUGGAACAGAUUGGAUCCGUGUACACUUUCAACAUUAAUAUUUCAGAACAUGUGUGUGUCAGGGUAAGUUUAAUACUUUCCUUACAUAAUUUAAUGUAAAUUAAUUUUACU